AGUAUUUUGGAGGUAGGAAGAUAUGAACCGUUCUGCAUUGCAGUUGGAACACAUUUAUCAGAAGUAUUGAAGCAAAACGGUCCCGUUCGUGAAAAUCAUUAGCAAAAUGAAUAAUUUUGGCUUGAAAUCAUUAUUUUCCUUGUCUACUAGCAAGAUCUUUACCAGAUCUAUCUCAAUAAAUGCGGCGGGUGUCACUAAUACAAAAAGUCUCAA